UGGGGAAUAUUGCGCAAUGGGCGAAAGCCUGACGCAGCGACGCCGCGUGGGUGAUGAAGGUCUUCGGAUCGUAAAGCCCUGUUGGAGGGGAAAGAAAACGUUUAUGGUUAAUACCCAUAGGCCUUGACGGUACCCCUUCAGAAAGCACCGGCUAACUCCGUGCCAGCAGCCGCGGUAAUACGGAGGGUGCAAACGUUGUUCGGAAUCACUGGGCGUAAAGCGCGUGUAGGCGGCACGGUAAGUCAGAUGUGAAAGCCCUCGGCUCAACCGGGGAAGUGCAUUUGAAACUGCCGAGCUAGAGUACGGGAGAGGGUAGUGGAAUUCCUGGUGUAGAGGUGAAAUUCGUAGAUAUCAGGAGGAACACCGGUGGCGAAGGCGGCUACCUGGACCGAUACUGACGCUGAGACGCGAAAGCGUGGGGAGCAAACAGG
rnacentral:rRNA from 1 species